ACGGGAGGCAGCAGUGAGGAAUAUUGGUCAAUGGGCGGAAGCCUGAACCAGCCAAGUCGCGUGAAGGAUGAAGGUAUUAUGUAUUGUAAACUUCUUUAGCAGCAGAGUAAUAAGGGGGUCGAGACCUCCGAUGCAAGUAUGCUGAGAAUAAGGAUCGGCUAACUCCGUGCCAGCAGCCGCGGUAAUACGGAGGAUCCGAGCGUUAUCCGGAUUUAUUGGGUUUAAAGGGUGCGCAGGCGGCUUUUUAAGUCAGUGGUUAAAUCGUGACGCUCAACGUCAUCACGCCAUUGAUACUGGAGAGCUUGAUUGCGGUCGAGGUUUGCGGAAUUCGUCGUGUAGCGGCGAAGUGCAUAGAUAUGACGAAGAACACCGAUUGCGUAGGCAGCAGACCAGGCCGUAAAUGACGCUCAUGCACGAAAGUGCGGGGAUCGAACAGGAUUAGAUACCCUGGUA
rnacentral:rRNA from 1 species